rnacentral:rRNA from 1 species
GUUCCUACGGGACGCAGCAGUUGGGAAUAUUGGACAAUGGAGGAAACUCUGAUCCAGUGACGCCGCGUGAAGGAAGAAGGUCUUCGGAUUGUAAACUUAUUUUAUCAGGGAAGAAAAAAAUGACUGUACCUGAAGAAGAAGCACCGGCUAACUACGUGCCAGCAGCCGCGGUAAUACGUAGGGGGCAAGCGUUAUCCGGAUUUACUGGGUGUAAAGGGAGCGUAGACGGAGAAGCAAGUCUGAAGUGAAAGCCCGUGGCUUAACCACGGGACUGCUUUGGAAACUGUUUGACUAGAGUGCUGGAG